CCUACGGGUGUCAGCAGUGGGGAAUAUUGCACAAUGGGGGGAACCCUGAUGCAGCGCCGCCGCGUGGGUGAAGGAGUCUUUCGGUAUGUACAGCCCUAUCCGCAGGGAAGAACAAUUACGGUACCUGACUAAGAAGCACCGGCUAAAUACGUGCCAGCAGACGCGGUAAUACGUAUGGUGCCAGCGUUCUCCGGAUUUACUGGGUGUAAAGGGAGCGCAUGCGGCGCGUUAAGCCUGGUUGGAAAGCCCGCGGCCCAACCGCGGGACUGCAUUUGGAACUGGCGCGCUGGGGUGCCGGAGGGGGAGGCGGAAUGCCUAGGGUAGCGGUGAAAUGCGGAGAUAUUAGGAGGAACACCAGUGGCGAAGGCGGCCUACUGGACGGUGACUGACGCUGAGGCUCGAAAGCGUGGGGAGCAAACAGGAUUAGAUACCCGUGUAGUC
rnacentral:rRNA from 1 species